GAAAGAGACUCGACACACCGGAAACCAAAAAAAAAACAGAAAGUGCGACAGCAAUGACGUAGCCGGUUGUUUGGUCGUGGGGCUCCAAAAUCGCAGCGCGCCGCGAGGCCCGGGUUCGCGCGAGCGCGGCGCCAAACCGACCCUCCCCCCCUGAUGAAAAAACCGCAAAAACCCUGAUAUAACCAAAAAAUAUCCGAGAUAAAAUAAGAAAUUAUCCGGGAUAAAUCCAGGCACG
rnacentral:lncRNA from 1 species